CCUACGGGAGGCAGCAGUGAGGAAUUUUCCGCAAUGGGCGCAACCCUGACGCAGCAACGCCGCGUGAGUGAUGAGGGCCUUCGGGUCGUAAAGCUCUGUCAGAGGGGAAGAAAUGCAGGUGGUGAACAACCAUUCUGUUUGACGGUACCCUCAAAGGAAGCACCGGCUAACUCCGUGCCAGCAGCCGCGGUAAUACGGAGGGUGCGAGCGUUGUUCGGAAUUAUUGGGCGUAAAGCGCGUGUAGGCGGUUUGUUAAGUCGGAUGUAAAAGCCCCGGGCUAAACCGGGGAAGUGCAUUGGAUACGGGCAGACUUGAGUACGGGAGAGGAGAGUGAAAUUCCCAGUGUAGGAGUAAAAUCCGUAGAUAUUGGGAGGAACACCGGUGGCGAGGGCGGCUCUC
rnacentral:rRNA from 1 species